rnacentral:lncRNA from 1 species
UUCCUCCCUUCUCCCUCUUCCUUCCCUAGCAUGUGUGCACGAUUGUCAAUGAUCGGGUUCACUGGAUUUUGUUGGAGAAAAUGUCCCCUAUUUUUCACCCCUCUUUUCUUUGGUUAUUCAAUGCUAGAGGUCACCACCGACCAUCAAUUUGGGUUCUCCAGACUAUGGUGACGUAGUCCUCCUACUGUCGGCCACCGUCGUGCCAGCUGCGGCCUUUGACAAGCCAAACAAGGGAGGGACCUCAUGGUCCCUUGUUUUGCCCAAAAGAGACCACAAGAAGAAGAAGAAAGAAAAUGAAAAGAAAAGAAAAAGAAAA